GACGAACGCUGGCGGCGUGCUUAACACAUGCAAGUCGAACGGACAGGCCCUGCUUUUGUUGGUCUCUCGUGUGGCGCGCGGGUGUGUCACACGUGUGUACCCCCCCCCUGUCUUUGGGAUACCUCUAGGAAACUGGGGAUCAUACCCGAUAUGAGAUCCUGAUGCAUAUUGUUGGUUGGUAAGUUUCGGCGGUUGGGGAUCGUCUCGCUGCUUCCGCGCUGGUUGGGCGAGUAGGUGCUUACCAAGCCUGUGACGGCUAGCCGGCCUGGGAGGGGGACCGGCCACAUGGGGACUGAGAUACGGCCCAGACUCCUACGGGAGGCAGCAGGGGGGAAUAUGACAGAGUGGGGGGAAGCCUGAGACAGCAACGCCGCGUGCGGGAUAACGGGCUUCGGGUGGUAAACCGCUUUCGAAGGGGCCAAGGCGUGAGUGACGGUAACGAGUAAAGAAGCACCGGCUAACUACGUG
rnacentral:rRNA from 1 species